AGCCUUUAAGCAAUCUUCACCCAAGUAUGUAGAGCAUCUCCUGCUGAAAUGGCUGGCAUCUUGCUUAGGAUCCGAGUUUGAAAUUUCUUGUAAAUUAUUGUCUGAAGCGUUUAAACUUCUGCCCAUGCUCUCAUCCCGUAAGUUGCACCUCAUAAACAUUAUCAGCAGGCAAGUCAUGCUUAAAGAAUUCACAACAGAGAGCAUGAGUGGCAAAGAGCAUGUAUUAGAUUUAGAAGGCUUAAGUGGCGACAAGAAGGAGCACAUAAAUUUGUGGAUGGACUUGCUACUUAGCUGUGAAAUGAACUCUUGUUGAGGCUUGUCAGUAUUAGUACUUCUGCCAUUUUAAGGCCACCAUCCAACUCAUCAGAAGAAUUUUCUGGAGUUGGGGUUGAUGGAUUGCCACAGAUGGAGCAGUGGGUUUCGCAAAAUGUGAAGGAUGAUUACANUGAAAGAAAUAUUUAUAAAUAAUACUAUAUGCUAAUGAGAUAGGGAAAUACAGUGAUCAUGCUUUACUAGGUAAUCAGCCUUGGGCAAAAUGGAUGGCUGUUCAACUGCCUUGAAUCUUGUUCUGAAAAAUUUAUGGUUCUUGUUUGCAGGUUCGCAGAUAUGAUGUUGAUCUAUUAGAUCCAAUGUAUGAGGGAAGGUGAGCUUUUAGACAUCUUUUUUUUUGGUAUCCUAUUGUUAUUAGAAACCUGCACUUCUGCAUAUUUAUGCGCCAAGGUACAUGGUGGUAUGUUCACCCUGUAUUUGCAUUUACCAAUAUUUUCUUAUUAUGUACUGUGGCAAAUCUCUUUGUAUUCUGCAAAACAUGUCAGAACUAAAUGCAGGAGUUUAGUCUGCACAUAGUAGUCGUUAACUGCCCCUUACAUAAAGCAAUAGAAUGAUAUUGACAUAAUAUUUUGAAGUGAGGAACCAGCUCAACCUUUUUCAUACUAUGAAGUAAUGUAGAAAUAUUGUCCUAAAUUUUUCAGAUCUCAUAAAGCUUCAGUUGAGUUCCUUUGGGUUGGAGGCCAACAAUUGGACCCUUCUGUUAUUACAUCUUCAGAGAUGAAAAAGGAAACAUUUCCUGGAUUCCCCGAGAAAGAACUGAUUUGGUGGGAAAAGAAUAUACUAUGGUGUUUGAACCAGUAUGAGAACCUCAACAGGCUUCUGAACAUUUUGGAUAUUGUGGCAGCUCUCCGAGCCUUCAAGCUAUCUUCACCCAAGUAUGUAGAGCAUAUCCUGCUGAAAUGGCUGGCUAUCUUAGCUUAGGUAUCCGAGUUUGAAAUUUCUUGUAAAUUAUUGUCUGAAGCGUUAAACUUACUGCCCACUGCUCUCAUCCCGUAACGUUGCACCUCAUAAACAUUAUCAGCAGGCAAGUCAUGCUUAAAGAAUUCACAACAGAGAGCAUGAGUGGCAAAGAGCAUGUAUUAGAUUUAGAAGGCUUAAGUGGUGACAAGAAGGAGCACAUAAA
rnacentral:lncRNA from 1 species